UACGUAGGGUGCAGGCGUUUAAUCGGAAUUACUGGGCGUAAAGCGUGCGCAGGCGGUUUGCUAAGACAGGUGUGAAAUCCCCGGGCUUAACCUGGGAACUGCGCUUGUAACUGGCAAGCUAGAGUGUGGCAGAGGGGGGGUGGAAUUCCACGUGUAGCAGUGAAAUGCGUUAGAGAUGUGGAGGAACACCGAUGGCGAAGGCAGCCCCCUGGGCUAACACUGACGCCUCAUGCACGAAAGCGUGGGGAGCAAAC
rnacentral:rRNA from 1 species